CAGUAGCCACGGGAAUACGUAGGGUGCAAGCGUUAAUCGGAAUUACUGGGCGUAAAGCGCGCGUAGGUGGUUUGUUAAGUUGGAUGUGAAAUCCCCGGGCUCAACCUGGGAACUGCAUUCAAAACUGACUGACUAGAGUAUGGUAGAGGGUGGUGGAAUUUCCUGUGUAGCGGUGAAAUGCGUAGAUAUAGGAAGGAACACCAGUGGCGAAGGCGACCACCUGGACUAAUACUGACACUGAGGUGCGAAAGCGUGGGGAGCAAACAGGAUUAGAUACCCGCGUAGUCCCUGUCUCUUAUAC
rnacentral:rRNA from 1 species